rnacentral:lncRNA from 1 species
GACAUAUAUGAUUUCGGUUCUUGUAUAUCAUAUUGUAGCUCAAAUUCAUUGAUUGUAGCAUGUAUGAAAUCUGAAUUGGGAGCAUGACUAUUAAUUAGAUGAAUAUACAUGUUGGAUUUAGAACUUGACUUAGGAGAAAACCAGCAAUUCGACCUGUCAUAUGAUUCUACUACCUGAUUUAGCUCUAUGAGCCGUGAUUUGAUUGUAUCACUACUGUUUCAACGCGGUGGAUACCCAGGGUAGUUUAGAAUACAGUUACGCUCGUGCUAGGAUACCGAGAUUAUUUUUACAGCAGAGUUUAGGCUGUUUCGGAUUGUCGGGUGCCGUCGGGGUGGACGGUGGACCCAGAUUUCUAUUUUUGGUCUCAGAUUGUGCCGAGGGCAUGUGGGUUUAAUUUCUAGACCUAUUUUGACCCUAACUACUUGACUUUGGCUUGUUAGAGCCUGAUUGAGCUCGACAGAGAUACGCUUGUAUACUUGGUUGGGUAGCGCCAACGAGUGCCACUCCGGAGUCAGGCUUAUUGCGUUUGCGUUGGUAUCGUUCAUGCAGGUUGGACUUACUCUUCACGGACUGGUUAGUGUGGACGUAGCUGUAUAGUCGCGACCGGGCGGGACGAGUGUGUUCACAGUCCCAGGGACGGGUAUGAUUACAGUUCUUAUUUGAGAUUGGGUCUUAGUUGACACUGUACUACAGAUGGUUAGAUUUAGAGCAUGAUAGUAUACUGGCAUAUAGCUGUAGAUUUGUUCCAGCUUUCUUUACUAUUCCUGCUUAUCCCUGUAGACUUAGUUGGUGAACCGAUGAGUUUGAGGGUGGUACCCACUGAGAACUACUUGUUUUUACAGCAGUUCUCACGCCCUGUUGUUAACACUGUUUUUAUAGAGCCGUCUGUCACGGCACAAAGAUUUUCUCCGCGAUUUCGCUUUGCAAUCACCCAAACUCCAAAGCGGACAUCUGACGGAG